rnacentral:rRNA from 1 species
GCCCUUAGAGUUUGAUCCUGGCUCAGAACGAACGCUGGCGGCAGGCUUAACACAUGCAAGUCGAGCGCCCCGCAAGGGGAGCGGCAGACGGGUGAGUAACGCGUGGGAAUCUACCCAACCCUACGGAAUAACGCAUGGAAACGUGUGCUAAUACCGUAUACGCCCUACGGGGGAAAGAUUUAUCGGGGAUGGAUGAGCCCGCGUUGGAUUAGCUAGUUGGUGGGGUAAAGGCCUACCAAGGCGACGAUCCAUAGCUGGUCUGAGAGGAUGAUCAGCCACAUUGGGACUGAGACACGGCCCAAACUCCUACGGGAGGCAGCAGUGGGGAAUAUUGGACAAUGGGCGCAAGCCUGAUCCAGCCAUGCCGCGUGAGUGAUGAAGGCCCUAGGGUUGUAAAGCUCUUUCACCGAUGAAGAUAAUGACGGUAGUCGGAGAAGAAGCCCCGGCUAACUUCGUGCCAGCAGCCGCGGUAAUACGAAGGGGGCUAGCGUUGUUCGGAAUUACUGGGCGUAAAGCGCACGUAGGCGGAUAUUUAAGUCAGGGGUGAAAUCCCGCAGCUCAACUGCGGAACUGCCUUUGAUACUGGGUAU